GACGAACGCUGGCGGCGUGCCUAAUACAUGCAAGUCGAGCGAGCUUGCCUAGAUGAAUUUGGUGCUUGCACCAGAUGAAACUAGAUACAAGCGAGCGGCGGACGGGUGAGUAACACGUGGGUAACCUGCCCAAGAGACUGGGAUAACACCUGGAAACAGAUGCUAAUACCGGAUAACAACACUAGACGCAUGUCUAGAGUUUAAAAGAUGGUUCUGCUAUCACUCUUGGAUGGACCUGCGGUGCAUUAGCUAGUUGGUAAGGCAACGGCUUACCAAGGCAAUGAUGCAUAGCCGAAUUGAGAGACUGAUCGGCCACAUUGGGACUGAGACACGGCCCAAACUCCUACGGGAGGCAGCAGUAGGGAAUCUUCCACAAUGGACGCAAGUCUGAUGGAGCAACGCCGCGUGAGUGAAGAAGGGUUUCGGCUCGUAAAGCUCUGUUGGUAGUGAAGAAAGAUAGAGGUAGUAACUGGCCUUUAUUUGACGGUAAUUACUUAGAAAGUCACGGCUAACUACGUG
rnacentral:rRNA from 1 species